rnacentral:rRNA from 1 species
AGCGAACGCUGGCGGUAGGCCUAACACAUGCAAGUCGAACGGCAGCACAGUAAGAGCUUGCUCUUACGGGUGGCGAGUGGCGGACGGGUGAGGAAUACAUCGGAAUCUACUUUUUCGUGGGGGAUAACGUAGGGAAACUUACGCUAAUACCGCAUACGACCUACGGGUGAAAGCAGGGGAUCUUCGGACCUUGCGCGAUUGAAUGAGCCGAUGUCGGAUUAGCUAGUUGGCGGGGUAAAGGCCCACCAAGGCGACGAUCCGUAGCUGGUCUGAGAGGAUGAUCAGCCACACUGGAACUGAGACACGGUCCAGACUCCUACGGGAGGCAGCAGUGGGGAAUAUUGGACAAUGGGCGCAAGCCUGAUCCAGCCAUACCGCGUGGGUGAAGAAGGCCUUCGGGUUGUAAAGCCCUUUUGUUGGGAAAGGAAAGCAGCAGGUUAAUACCCCGCUGUUCUGACGGUACCCAAAGAAUAAGCACCGGCUAACUUCGUG